UACGAAGGGGGCUAGCGUUGCUCGGAAUCACUGGGCGUAAAGCGCACGUAGGCGGACUCUUAAGUCAGGGGUGAAAUCCUGGAGCUCAACUCCAGAACUGCCUUUGAUACUGGGAGUCUUGAGUUCGGGAGAGGUGAGUGGAACUGCGAGUGUAGAGGUGAAAUUCGUAGAUAUUCGCAAGAACACCAGUGGCGAAGGCAGCUCGCUAAACUGUAACUGACGCUGAGGCACGAAAGCGUGGGUAGCAAACAGG
rnacentral:rRNA from 1 species